rnacentral:rRNA from 1 species
AUUGAACGCUGGCGGCAGGCUUAACACAUGCAAGUCGAGCGAGCGGCGGACGGGUGAGUAAUGUCUGGGAAACUGCCUGAUGGAGGGGGAUAACUACUGGAAACGGUAGCUAAUACCGCAUACCAUCAGAUGUGCCCAGAUGGGAUUAGCUAGUAGGGGGGGUAAUGGCUCACCUAGGCGACGAUCCCUAGCUGGUAUGAAAGGAUGACCAGCCACACAGGAACUGAGACACGGUCCAGACUCCUAAGGGAGGCAGCAGUGGUGAAUAGUGCACAAUGGGAGCAAGACUGAUGCAGCCAUGCCGCGUGUAUGAAGAAGGCCGUCGGGUUGGAAAGUACUUUAAGCGGGGAGGCGUUACCCGCAGAAGAAGCACCGGCUAACUCCGUGCCAGCCGCCGAGGUAAUU